CCCUGGCUCCAGGACGAACGCUGGCGGCAUGCCUAAUACAUGCAAGUCGAGCGGAGUAAGAAUGGAAGCUUGCUUCCAUUCUURCUUAGCGGCGGACGGGGUGAGUAACACGUAGGCAACCUGCCCUCAAGACUGGGAUAACUACCGGAAACGGUAGCUAAUACCGGAUAAUUUCUUUCCUCUCCUGAAGAGAGAAUGAAAGGCGGAGCAAUCUGCCACUUGGGGAUGGGCCUGCGGCGCAUUAGCUAGUUGGUGGGGUAACGGCUCACCAAGGCGACGAUGCGUAGCCGACCUGAGAGGGUGAACGGCCACACUGGGACUGAGACACGGCCCAGACUCCUACGGGAGGCAGCAGUAGGGAAUCUUCCGCAAUGGGCGAAAGCCUGACGGAGCAAUGCCGCGUGAGUGAUGAAGGUUUUCGGAUCGUAAAGCUCUGUUGCCAGGGAAGAACGUCCGGUAGAGUAACUGCUACCGGAGUGACGGUACCUGAGAAGAAAGCCCCGGC
rnacentral:rRNA from 1 species